AUUGAACGCUGGCGGCAGGCCUAACACAUGCAAGUCGAGCGGAGCGGCGGACGGGUGAGUAAAGCCUAGGAAUAUGACUGGUGGUGGGGGAUAAAGUAAGGAAACGGGAGCUAAUACAGCAUAAUAUCAGAUGAGCCUAGGGCGGAUUUGCUAGUUGGUGGGGUAAAGGCCUACCAAGGCGACGAUCCGUAACUGGUCGUAGAGGAUGAUCAGUAACACUGGAACUGAGACACGGUCCAGACUCCUACGGUAGGACGCAGUGGGGAAUAUUGGACAAUGGGCGAAAUCCUGAUCCAGCCAUGCCGCGUGUGUGAAGAAGGUCUUCGGAUUGUAAAGCACUUUAAGUUGGGAGGCGUUACCAACAGAAUAAGCACCGGCUAACUUCGUGCCAGCAGCCGCGGUAAUUC
rnacentral:rRNA from 1 species